rnacentral:rRNA from 1 species
CACACAAUGAACAACCAGCUUAGAACUGAUGCGGGCAAGGGGAAUCCGACUGUUUAAUUGAAACAAAGUAUUGCGAUGCCCUGAAAGGAUGUUGACACAAUGUGAUUUCUGCCCAGUGCUCUGAAUGUCAAAGUGAGGAGAUUCAACUAAGCGCGGGUAAACGGCGGGAGUAACUAUGACUCUCUUAAGGUAGCCAAAUGCCUCGUCAUCCAAUUAGUGACGCGCAUGAAUGGAUUAAUGAGAUUCCUACUGUCCCAAUCUACUGUCCAGCGAAACCACAGCCAAGGGAACGGGCUUGGGUGAGUCAGCGGGGAAAGAAGACCCUGUUGAGCUUGACUCUAAUCCGACUUUGUGAAAUGACUUAGGAGGAGUAGGAUAUGUGGGAGCUCAGGUGAUCUUGAAAUACCACUACUUUUAAUGUCACUUUACUUACUCUAUCCAACUGUGCCCUGCCUCACAGCAGGUUUUUGCUUUUAAGGUUGCUCUUUUGGCGUGUUGAUUUGCGUAGAAGACGUCGUCCGGUGGGGAGUUUGGCUGGGGCGGCACAU